UCGUAACAAGGUCUCCGUAGGUGAACCUGCGGAGGGAUCAUUACAGAGCAUCAUGCCCUUCGGGGUAGAUCUCCCACCCUGUGUAUUACAUACCUUAUGUUGCUUUGGCGGGCCGCCUCGGCCACCGGCUCCGGCUGGUGCGUGCCCGCCAGAGGACCCCAAACUCUGAAUGUUAGUGUCGUCUGAGUACUAUAUAAUAGUUAAAACUUUCAACAACGGAUCUCUUGGUUCUGGCAUCGAUGAAGAACGCAGCGAAAUGCGAUAAGUAAUGUGAAUUGCAGAAUUCAGUGAAUCAUCGAAUCUUUGAACGCACAUUGCGCCCUCUGGUAUUCCGGAGGGCAUGCCUGUUCGAGCGUCAUUACAACCCUCAAGCUCUGCUUGGCCUUGGGCGUCACCGGCUCCGGUGUGCCCCAAACCCAGUGGCGGUGCCAUCUGGCUCUAAGCGUAGUAACUAUUCUCGCUAUGGAUGCCCGGCGGAUGCUAGCCAACAACCCCCAACUUCUUAAGGUUGACCUCGGAUCAGGUAGG
rnacentral:misc_RNA from 1 species